CAGCAAAGAUAUUACAAUUGCCAUUUAUCUAUAUACCACACUCUGACUAGAAAAAACUAAAAGAAAAAAAGUGGCUAAUGAAUAGUGACUUGAAUCCAGUAAGGCAAGCACAAGUAAGAUGCAAAAUAUAAUUAAUGCCAAACGAAAACCAAAUUGCCCCAAGGAAAGUAGGAGCUUCAAUAUCAUCAAGAAAUUUUAUUAUCCCAUUUAAAUGGCGUCUUUCACGGAAUUAGCAAUUUGUAAAUACAUGAAGAGGUACAUGCACAUUUCAUUUUAUGCUUAAAAUUUACUCAUAUAUUCCACAUGAAGCAAGCCGUUUUAAUCCUCCAAUGGCUUCUAUGAAAAUUUUAGUCCUUCUUGUGCAGGUUUUACAUACACAGUCAUGUGGAUUUAGCAAACAGCACUAUGGGAAUGGAGUUGGCCUCCACACAUUACCCUGAAAUGGUUGUGGUUCUCCGCUCUACCUCUACAACCCUUCCCUCUUUUCACCUUAUUAAUCCAUGUAUUCUGCUAUGGAAACCAGACAGCUUUGCCUUCUACUUCUCGUAUAGUGGAGUUAAAAACUGGAUGUAAUCUUCACUUAAGGAACAAUGAGCCAGCUCCUUUGAUUGUAACUACCCAUGGAAAGCCCUAAAUGACGUCGUUUCUAUCUAUUGUCAAGUUGGAUCCAACGAUCUACAUUGUACUUCAGUUUAAGUAGUGAAUUCAAUUCUAAUAUUGUUUUACCUCACUAAUUUCUCCACAUAAAGUGACCUUGGAUGAAAUUGAGAUAGUGGAGGGGCACCUUAUUUACUGCUGCUUUUUAAUAGAUGAUUUUACUCUACUGUGAAGGAAGACAAGCAUCAGCCCAGACAUUGUAAUUACUGUUGUGCAUUUCUGAUUCCUCCAUGCAUGCCAUUUAUGGUUUUUGGAGCCCACGAAUUCCCCAAGAAUGCUUCAGCAUCAAAUUUGGAAUGUUAGAUAUGGCUGGCUACCUCAACCUGAUAAUGAUCCUUGGUCCACCUUCAACUGUCAUCCCAUGCCCCAUGUUGGCAAUACACUAACAUUCGCGUCUCCUCUAGAUUUCGACCUUAUUCUUUAGUAGAGAGAAACUUCAUGAUUGGUUCCCUACUUUUGAUCUGCGUGCUUCACAGAUUUCAAUACUGGACUUGGAUAUUUCAGUACCAUGUCUUAGUUCAUUAAUUAUGAGUAAUUAUUAUUCGAGUAACAAAGAGCCAUAUGGAAGAAAUGAGUUCAUAAGUCCAGAAUUCUCAUGGGAAAGAAAAACCUAUAGGUCCCGAGAAACCUGGUUCAUUUUUCUCUCUUUCCUUUUUUCUUUCUUUUUUCUUAUUGAAAAUUUGAAGGGUAAGGUUACCCUAUCCAUGUUUUAAUACGUGUAAAAUAAGAUUUACAUAUAUUGAGCGUUCCUUGAAAUGGUACAAUUUGAUAUAUCAAAUCAAGUGGGAGGAGAGGAUAAAUAUAGUUUCCUAAUUCUUCAUGCAAUUACUAGGUCUUUGUGGUGAUGAUGAUCUAUGUUGAAUACAAUUAUUGAUUUUUAGCCCUAGCCAUGCAGAGUUUCCAUUAAUACUGCCAUUUCCAGGUCUUCCAGGAUUAUCCAGUGAGCAACUGGUGACAUUAAGUUUUGGCCCCCUAAUCGAAAAAGCCUCCAGAAAGAUUUCAGUUAUCAAGCCAUCCAGCAUCAUCCUAAAUGGGAUAGCUAAAUCCUCUACGAGUUUCUUCAGUAGAAUGAAAAAUCCAUCUAUAAACUUAGGUUGUUUCUCUCGCAAAAUUAUGAUUAUAUCCAGGUCACUCCAAUUCUAACCCUGAUCUUCUAUUUAGUAGAAACCUUAAGACAUUCAAACAAAGGCAAACAAUAUGCUUUUUUUAAAUUGUUUACUCUAGAAUUAACUUAAUCCCUUGCUUGGGCUGCAAGAGAAGACCACUAUAGUCUCAUGAAGGAAGAUUCCAAGGCCGAGCUGCUUAGUCCUUCUCUACUACAAAGGAGGAAAUGUCAAACUAAAUGAAGCCAUCAUUUUUCCUACAUAAGGGUUGAAGAGCCAGCCAAAUGAAUGAAUUCGCAUGUGGAUUACUUUACUUUUCCAGAGUGUUUCGAACAUUUCAAAUGGGACUGCAUGCUUUCCAACAAUCUACCAUGCACCUCUCACCCAAAGAUUUCCAUUUGUAUCUAAAAUCAAAAUUACUUCAUCUAUCAUUCUAUUGAGAGGCAGAGGUAAAUACAUCAUAUUUUUGUGUAUAUGAGUGUUGUCUGUAGGAAGAUUAUAUCUAAACUCCAUUUUGCAAGUACUCAUGUCAAACUCAUAGAUAGCCAACAAUUAUAAAGACAUUACUAUCUCGCACUUUCAACAUGGCCCAAACAUAGCCCCAAAAGGACAUGGUUGGAACUAGUAAAAAAUAUAUAGGGACUUAUGGCCUCAAUGAGGAUAUGGCCAUUGAUAGAGCAGAAUGGUGGACAAAAAAUUGUGUAGCCACCCCUAAAUAGUUGGAAAAAGACUCUGACGAUGAUAUGCUCAACAAGGUGUAAGAUGUAUUUUAGAACUAGCUAGGGUAAGAUUUGAAUCUGAAACAAUGCGUUGACGUGUGCUUGCAAAUGAAAACCUGUAGUGCCUUAAUGUUGUCUAUUCAGAAUUACAAAGAUGAGAAAAGAGAAAGUCCACAACCUGAAGUCUACAAGCACCAAAAGCCAAUUGUAAGGGACAAACAUAUAGCUCCACAAACUGAAAACUACAAAAUGGAUGCAUAUGAUGGAGAUUAGGAUCAUCCAAAUAUUAAGAUGAAGAAGUUAUGAUUUAAUGAAUGCGAAAGGAUUAAUCAUAUAAAGUACAAAAGGAUCUUAAACAAACUCAAGAAGGUUGUCACUCCCUCCAUCUUCUCAGAAUGCAUCAGGUAAUACCUUCUCUUUCCUUUUCUCUGAACCAGCAAAUUGGACUGUAAACUCUAGGCUUCUUCCCAUAUGACUAGUAAACUAUCAUAACCAUCUUUCUUCAAAAAAUUGCAAAUUCUAAGUAUUUAUCACUUGCCUAUCACUCUAAUAUUCUAGUCCUUAGUGCAGGCCACACAUAACUAACUCCACUUCCCUUACAAAAUGUUCUAAACAUUCCAUCUUUUCCACCUAGUUGGGCUAUUUUGGGCAGUUGAUUAUUGUGUAGGGGACAUUUAGGAAAGUUUAAUGGCAGUUUUGGAAGAAAGUACUAAAAUUAUUGUAGAGUUGAUGAUGCAAAACCAUGGGGAUAGAAAGUUUAACGGUAGUUUUGGAAGAAUGUACUAAAAUUAUUAUAGAGUUGAUGAUGUAAAACAAUGGGGAUAGCAACUUAGUGAGACAUUGGAACUGGUAAGCCAAGUAAAGAAUCCAUGCUUACAUCCUCCAAUGAAGAUUUUGGAACUGGUAAGGAAGUAUAGAGGCUUGUAUUUUGAGCAUAUCCCUUUGAAACUUGGCAAGUUUAGCAAUG
rnacentral:lncRNA from 1 species